UACGUAGGGGGCGAGCGUUGUCCGGAAUCAUUGGGCGUAAAGCGCGUGUAGGCGGCCCAGUAAGUCGGAUGUGAAAGCCCGGGGCUCAACUCCGGAAUCGCAUUCGAUACUGUUGGGCUUGAGGAAGGUAGAGGAGAGUGGAAUUCCCGGUGUAGCGGUGGAAUGCGCAGAUAUCGGGAGGAACACCAGCGGCGAAGGCGGCUCUCUGGGCCUUACCUGACGCUGAGACGCGAAAGCAUGGGGAGCGAACAGG
rnacentral:misc_RNA from 1 species